AGAGAGAGACAUGCGCGCAUAUCAAUAAGCGGAGGAAAAGAAACUAACAAGGAUUCCCCUAGUAACGGCGAGUGAAGCGGGAAGAGCUCAAAUUUGAAAUCUUAAAGGGUUUCCCUUUACGAAUUGUAGUUUAAAGAAGUGUUUUCUGUUGAGGUUUUGGUAAAAGUUCUUUGGAAUAGGACAUCAUAGAGGGUGAGAAUCCCGUAUUUGACCUUUACUUUCAACUUUGUGAUACACUUUCAAAGAGUCGGAUUGUUUGGGAAUGCAGUCCAAAAUGGGUGGUAAAUUUCAUCUAAAGCUAAAUAUUGGCGAGAGACCGAUAGCGAACAAGUACCGUGAGGGAAAGAUGAAAAGAACUUUGAAAAGAGAGUUAAACAGUACGUGAAAUUGUCAAAAGGGAAGCGUUUGACACCAGUGUUGUUUUUCUGAAAAUCAAUUAAAGAACUGUUUAUGCUAAGUUGUUUAGACUUUAUCAGCUAACUGUUUAGUUUUGAGCUUUUCUUUAAUGCACUUUUCAGUUAACAAGUCAACAUCAAUUUCUUUUGCUGUAAAAAAGCUUGAGGAAGGUGGCUUGAGAUUCGUCUUAAGUGUUUAUAGCCUCUUGCCUAUGCAGUCGGAGAGAUUGAGGUCUGCAGCGUAGAUCCUUCGGGGCUAAAUGCAUUUGUGCUAAGUUAUAGCAUUUUAUAGACAACUUGUUGACUAUGAUUAGUCUUGUAGCUUACUCGCUUAUGCUAUUUUACCUACGCUUAGGAUGUUGAGCGCAUGUCUCUCUCU
rnacentral:rRNA from 1 species